ensembl:lncRNA
GUGAGUCCUGACUCCAGUGCCGGCCCAGACCCCCAAAGCCACAGAGCAGCGGUCCAGGAUGAGAUGAUUCAGUUCAGUUCAGUUGCUCAGUCGUGUCCGACUCUUUGCGACCCCAUGAAGCGCAGCACGCCAGGCCUCCCUGUCCAUCACCAGCUCCCGGAGUUCACUCAGACUCACGUCUAUCGAGUCGGUGAUGCCAUCCAGCCACCUCAUCCUCUGUCGUCCCCUUCCCCUCCUGCCCCCAAUCCCUCCCAGAAUCAGGGUCUUUUCCAAUGAGUCAACUCUUCGCAUGAGGUGGCCAAAGUACUGGAACUUCAGCUUCAGCAUCAGUCCUUCCAGAGAACACGCAGGGCUGCUCUCCUUCAGGAUGGACGGGCUGGGUCUUCCCAUCUUCCAUACAUCUGCACUUCCUGAGCCCUUAGGCCUCUGAUUCUUUACUCAUACUUGUCUGAGCCACUCUAAGAUUCUCGUUCAGCGUUAUCAAGAUGUCACUUUAAAAUGGGUGAGCUGGGACUUCCCUGGCAGUCUGGUGCUUAGGUCCAGUGGUUACAACUCUGAGCUUUCACUGCAAGGGGCAAAUGUUCGAUCCCUGGUCAGGGAAGUUCCACCUGCUGUGUGGUGAGGCCAGAAAAAAAAAAACCCAACUAAAACGAGUGAGCUGGGGAUUCCAGUGGUUAGGACUUGGUACUUUCACUGCCUUGGGUUCAGGUUUGAUCCCUUGUGGGGGAUCUAAGAUCUCUCAAGCUACAUGGUGCCACCAAAGGGAAGUGGGGUGGUGAGCCUAGCAUCUCCCUGUACUCUAUGAAUCUUUCCUCUGUGUGUUCGUGUUCUUAUUUCCAAAACAGAACAUUAAAAAUGCAAAGCUGGUUUUAGUCUUGUAGGGUGAUGCCUUCACUUUUGGUCUGUUUCUGGAGGAAAUGCUGGAAACGUGCCUGAAAGGCCAUGCUGUUGUACCUGGGGCCGGAAAUGCCAGGUCACAGCCCUUCCCGCAGACUCCUGGCCGUGCAGUGGAGGGUGGAAAAUAUGUGUCCAAGGACUGAUGGAAUGAGAUUUGUAUUUCAUGGCAAGGACAUUAGGAUGUGAAAUAAAAUUCAUAUUCUAUGGCAAGACAAGAAAAAUUUAAACAUAAAAGGUCUUCUCUGCCCUUUGGCCCCCUCUCUUUCCUGUACUAUGCGUCUGCCCAUCUGCCUUGUGCAUGGACCAAACCUCUACCAUCCACAGAAAUACCUGCUCAACUGUAAAGAACAAUGUUCUCCUAGCGUCAACACAAGACAACGCCUUAAAAGAUAACAUUCCUUCCUGAUCUUCCAAGGGCUCACAUGACCCACCUCAAUGGCGAUUAGAUCUGGAUCAUGUGAACUGUCAAUAAUACGUCGCUUUGAUGCACCGUCCUCUGUCUCAAAAAGCUUAUGUGAAUUGCAUCUUGACUUCUAAUGAGCAGGACGGUUCUUGGAGCUUUCUGAGAAUCUCUUCCUAGACUAUAAUCCUCAAAUUUGGCUUGAAUAAAACUUUCCA